rnacentral:rRNA from 1 species
GACGAACGCUGGCGGCGUGCUUAACACAUGCAAGUCGAACGGAGUGGCGAACGGGUGAGUAUUACGUGAGUAACCUGUUCCCAACUGGGGGAUACGCCUGGGAAACUGGGUCUAAUACUGUAUAGUUGGGGCUGGGUUCGCGGCCUAUCAGCUGGUUGGUGGGGUGAUGGCCUACCAGGGCGGUGACGGGUAGCCGGCCUGAGAGGGUGGUCGGCGACAUUGGGACGUAGAUACGGACCAGAGGCCUACGGGAGGCAGCAGAGGGGGAUAUUGCGCAAUGGGCGCAAACCUGAUGCAGCGACGCGGCGUGUAUGAAGGAGGCCUUCGGGUUGUAAAGUACUUUCAGCGAGGGGGCGUUACUCGCAGAAGAAGCACCGGCUAACUCCGUGCCAGCAGCCGCGGUAAUAC